UGGGGAAUAUUGCACAAUGGGGGGAACCCUGAUGCAGCCAUGCCGCGUGAAUGAAGAAGGCCUUCGGGUUGUAAAGUUCUUUCGGUGACGAGGAAGGUUGAUAGGUUAAUAGCCUAUCAAAUUGACGUUAACCACAGAAGAAGCACCGGCUAACUCCGUGCCAGCAGCCGCGGUAAUACGGGGGGUGCGAGCGUUAAUCGGAAUAACUGGGCGUAAAGGGCACGCAGGCGGUGACUUAAGUGAGAUGUGAAAGCCCCGAGCUUAACUUGGGAAUUGCAUUUCAUACUGGGUCGCUAGAGUACUUUAGGGAGGGGUAGAAUUCCACGUGUAGCGGUGAAAUGCGUAGAGAUGUGGAGGAAUACCGAAGGCGAAGGCAGCCCCUUGGGAAUGUACUGACGCUCAUGUGCGAAAGCGUGGGGAGCAAACAGGAUUAGAUACCCUGGUAGUCCACGCUGUAAACGAUGUCGAUUUGGGGAUUGGGCUUUGAGCUUGGUGCCCGUAGCUAACGUGAUAAAUCGACCGCCUGGGGAGUACGGCCGCAAAGGUUUA
rnacentral:rRNA from 1 species